CAUACUCCCCUUUUAGUUUCAAAACUGUUAGGCUAUGGGGGUGUAACACACUAAUUAACUAAUUUAAAUUCAGGUAAAAGUUUUAUGGCUACAGGUACUGUAAAGUGGUUUAACGAAUCCAAAGGUUUUGGUUUUAUUUCUCAGGACGACGGCGGCGCAGACGUAUUCGUUCAUUUCAAUGCAAUUCAGGGUGAAGGUUUCAAAACUCUAAAUGAAGGUCAGGCUGUUACCUUUGAUGUUGAGAACGGCCCUAAAGGUCUACAGGCUAGCAACGUUAUGCCUAAGUAGGACUUAUCGGAAAUACCGAUAUAAAAAACCUCGCCUCGGCGGGGUUUUU
rnacentral:sRNA from 1 species